ACUGCCGUCAUGGCGGAGCGCAAAGCAGAUGAUGCGAGCGGUGCGAGCGAGGGGAAAAAAGCACGCCAAAAGUCGUCAAAAGUGUGGGAGUAUUUCAAUAAACGGCCUAAUAAUGUUGUAGCGGCGAACAGCUGUCUCGUCAGCUGACGCGCGAGCUCGCAACCGUGGCUGUUUAGCAACCAGCCAAACCCCACUUAAUAAAAUUAUAUUUUAUCUUAGAGCACAUCCGCAUCCCUAUUCAACUAGGCAACCCCAGGAAAUGUAUAUAAUUCGGCAUUAUUUCGGGCAGUCGGCUUAUAAAAUCAAAGCCGAAUAGUUUACGUUCACGCGCAGGUAUAACGCGGCGCGCUCCUGUCUCAUAUCUGCUGGUGCGCGAGCCCAGUAAUUAGACAGCUUUGUCAAAUCAAGGAGUACAAAAGACGCCAGCGCAGAGUGGAAAAAGGUUUAGUUCAUUACAGAAAACCCAGAGUUGUGCCAAAAGUUUUUCACCUACUAAAGAAGCUAAAGGCUACUAAAGGCUACUAAAGGCUACUAAAGACAGCUAAUGACAGCUAAAGAAACUAAAGUGUGAGGAACUCGCAUGGCUGCCGUUUGUGUGACCCCAAGAUGCAAGAACCAGGAUGAGGAUGAGCAGGGAUUCGGGAGUUAUUUUACACCAAGACCGACUUUCUGCAGCCCAUCUAGGCAGCAAACCCAGCCUGAAUUAGUUGCAACCAUUACGACAAGACGUCAAGAUGUAGCGACUGCACUGCCUAACCUUGCCGAGAGCGACGCAUUCCACAUGCUUGACCGAUUCUUAAGGAUCGAUACGUGGCGUUAUUAUGCCCGUCACGGGGGGCUCCUCCAUUCAGAACGAACAGGGGGACACUGUCUGUCUGGUGCUGCAGGAGGCUUGGGGCUGCAUACCAAACCAGUGUGCAGCAGCGGGGAGGCACCUGUGAGUAGGAGGGAGGGAAACCCCGCACUAUUAUACCACCAUCAGACCUGAUUCAGUGCAGCAGCUGGAGAAGGAGGGGGCACUGCUUCAGCAUCCCCAUGCUAGCACUAUAAAUGUAACAUGUGUGUCAUGAUGAUACACUGCGCACCCCCCCACCAACACACCAUGGCAGCAAGUGAUGACCGGGUUGUCGAAGGAAUGGGGAGUCCCUAGGCUUUUCUUGUCCUUACUCCCCCUUUUAUUACCAUAGACUGAAGCGUGCUCCACAUUCUCUUCCUUUUAUCGUUAAAGCAUCACUCAGCCUCCAUGAAUGUGAUCAAUUUGGCACAAUUACACCAAAUGUGCGCACACAUGAAACACAUUGGGAGUAUUUUCUCUUUUUCUGACUGCUCUCGGGAGACUGCUUGUGUUGUAUUUUUUCCUUCAGUGCCCUUAUUAGACAGCAGCACAAGAAGUGUAGUAGCAGUAAUGAG